UACGUAGGCAGCGAGCGUUGUUCGGAGUUACUGGGCGUAAAGGGUGUGUAGGCGGUUCUUUAAGUUUGGUGUGAAAUCUCCCGGCUCAACCGGGAGGGUGCGCCGAAUACUGAGGGACUUCGAGUGCGGGAGAGGAAAGUGGAAUUCCCGGUGUAGCGGUGAAAUGCGUAGAGAUCGGGAGGAACACCAGAGGCGAAGGCGGCGACCUGGACAGUAACUGACGCUAAACUACGGAAAGCGUGGGGAGCAACAGG
rnacentral:rRNA from 1 species